UACGUAGGGUGCGAGCGUUGUCCGGAAUUAUUGGGCGUAAAGAGCUUGUAGGUGGUUUGUCGCGUCUGCUGUGAAAACCCGAGGCUCAACCUCGGGCCUGCAGUGGGUACGGGCAGACUAGAGUGCGGUAGGGGAGAUUGGAAUUCCUGGUGUAGCGGUGAAAUGCGCAGAUAUCAGGAGGAACACCGGUGGCGAAGGCGGGUCUCUGGGCCGAUACUGACGCUGAGGAGCGAAAGCGUGGGGAGCAAACAGG
rnacentral:rRNA from 1 species